CUAAUACUCCCUCCGUCCGGAAAUACUUGUCUUAGGAAUGGUUGUAUCUAGACUUAUUUUAAUUAUAGAUACAUCCAUUUCAUCUAUUUCUAGGACAAGUAUUUCUGGACGGAGGGAGUAAUAA
rnacentral:pre_miRNA from 1 species